AGUGAACGCUGGCGGUAGGCCUAACACAUGCAAGUCGAACGGCAGCACAGUAAGAGCUUGCUCUUACGGGUGGCGAGUGGCGGACGGGGGAGGAAUACAUCGGAAUCUACUUUUUCGUGGGGGAUAACGUAGGGAAACUUACGCUAAUACCGCAUACGACCUACGGGUGAAAGCAGGGGAUCUUCGGACCUUGCGCGAUUGAAUGAGCCGAUGUCGGAUUAGCUAGUUGGCGGGGUAAAGGCCCACCAAGGCGACGAUCCGUAGCUGGUCUGAGAGGAUGAUCAGCCACACUGGAACUGAGACACGGUCCAGACUCCUACGGGAGGCAGCAGUGGGGAAUAUUGGACAAUGGGCGAAAGCCUGAUCCAGCCAUACCGCGUGGGUGAAGAAGGCCUUCGGGUUGUAAAGCCCUUUUGUUGGGAAAGAAAAGCAGCAGGUUAAUACCCCGCUGUUCUGACGGUACCCAAAGAAUAAGCACCGGCUAACUUCGUG
rnacentral:rRNA from 1 species